rnacentral:rRNA from 1 species
AGGGGUUCUGAGAGGAAGGUCCCCCACAUUGGAACUGAGACACGGUCCAAACUCCUACGGGAGGCAGCAGUGAGGAAUAUUGGUCAAUGGACGAGAGUCUGAACCAGCCAAGUAGCGUGAAGGAUGAAGGUCCUACGGAUUGUAAACUUCUUUUAUAAGGGAAUAAACCCUCCCACGUGUGGGAGCUUGUAUGUACCUUAUGAAUAAGCAUCGGCUAACUCCGUGCCAGCAGCCGCGGUAAUACGGAGGAUGCGAGCGUUAUCCGGAUUUAUUGGGUUUAAAGGGAGCGCAGACGGGUCGUUAAGUCAGCUGUGAAAGUUUGGGGCUCAACCUUAAAAUUGCAGUUGAUACUGGCGUCCUUGAGUGCGGUUGAGGUGUGCGGAAUUCGUGGUGUAGCGGUGAAAUGCUUAGAUAUCACGAAGAACUCCGAUUGCGAAGGCAGCACACUAAGCCGUAACUGACGUUCAUGCUCGAAAGUGUGGGUAUCAAACAGGAUUAGAUACCCUGGUAGUCCACACGGUAAACGAUGGAUACUCGCUGUUGGCGAUAUACUGUCAGCGGCUUAGCGAAAGCGUUAAGUAUCCCACCUGGGGAGUACGCCGGCAACGGUGAAACUCAAAGGAAUUGACGGGGGCCCGCACAAGCGGAGGAACAUGUGGUUUAAUUCGAUGAUACGCGAGGAACCUUACCCGGGCUUAAAUUGCAAAGGAAUAAUCUGGAAACAGAUUAGUCUUCGGACCUUUGUGAAGGUGCUGCAUGGUUGUCGUCAGCUCGUGCCGUGAGGUGUCGGCUUAAGUGCCAUAACGAGCGCAACCCUCGCCGCCAGUUACUAACAGUUAAAGCUGAGGACUCUGGCGGGACUGCCAUCGUAAGAUGUGAGGAAGGUGGGGAUGACGUCAAAUCAGCACGGCCCUUACGUCCGGGGCUACACACGUGUUACAAUGGGCGGUACAGAAGGCAGCUACCUGGCGACAGGAUGCCAAUCCCGAAAGCCGCUCUCAGUUCGGACUGGAGUCUGCAACCCGACUCCACGAAGCUGGAUUCGCUAGUAAUCGCGCAUCAGCCACGGCGCGGUGAAUACGUUCCCGGGCCUUGUACACACCGCCCGUCAAGCCAUGAAAGCCGGGGGUACCUGAAGUGCGUAACCGCAAGGAGCGCCCUAGGGUAAAACCGGUAAUUGGGGCUAAGUCGUAACAAGGUAGCCGUACCGGAAGGUGCGGCUG